UACGUAGGGGGCAAGCGUUGUCCGGAAUCAUUGGGCGUAAAGCGCGUGUAGGCGGUUCGGUAAGUCCGCUGUGAAAGUCGGGGGCUCAACCCUCGGAUGCCGGUGGAUACUGUCGAGCUUGAGUACGGAAGAGGCGAGUGGAAUUCCUGGUGUAGCGGUGAAAUGCGCAGAUAUCAGGAGGAACACCAAUUGCGAAGGCAGCUCGCUGGGACGUUACUGACGCUGGAGAA
rnacentral:rRNA from 1 species